rnacentral:rRNA from 1 species
CACAUGCAAGUCGAGGGGCAGCAUGGACCCAGCUUCGCUGGGUUUGAUGGCGACCGGCGCACGGGUGAGUAACGCGUAUCCAACCUGCCCUUUACUCCGGGAUAGUCUCCUGAAAGGGAGUUUAAUACCGGAUGUGUUUGUCUUUCCGCAUGGGAGCGACAAAUAAAGAUUGAUUGGUAAAGGAUGGGGAUGCGUCCCAUUAGCUUGUUGGCGGGGUAACGGCCCACCAAGGCGACGAUGGGUAGGGGUUCUGAGAGGAAGGUCCCCCACAUUGGAACUGAGACACGGUCCAAACUCCUACGGGAGGCAGCAGUGAGGAAUAUUGGUCAAUGGGCGGGAGCCUGAACCAGCCAAGUAGCGUGAAGGAUGACGGCCCUACGGGUUGUAAACUUCUUUUAUAAGGGAAUAAAGUUCGCCACGCGUGGUGUUUUGUAUGUACCUUAUGAAUAAGCAUCGGCUAAUUCCGUGCCAGCAGCCGCGGUAAUACGGAAGAUGCGAGCGUUAUCCGGAUUUAUUGGGUUUAAAGGGAGCGUAGGCGGGCUUUUAAGUCAGCGGUCAAAUGCCACGGCUCAACCGUGGCCAGCCGUUGAAACUGCAAGCCUUGAGUCUGCACAGGGCACAUGGAAUUCGUGGUGUAGCGGUGAAAUGCUUAGAUAUCACGAAGAACUCCGAUCGCGAAGGCAUUGUGCCGGGGCAGCACUGACGCUGAGGCUCGAAAGUGCGGGUAUCAAACAGGAUUAGAUACCCUGGUAGUCCGCACGGUAAACGAUGAAUGCUCGCUAUGGGCGAUAUAUUGUCCGUGGCCAAGCGAAAGCGUUAAGCAUUCCACCUGGGGAGUACGCCGGCAACGGUGAAACUCAAAGGAAUUGACGGGGGCCCGCACAAGCGGAGGAACAUGUGGUUUAAUUCGAUGAUACGCGAGGAACCUUACCCGGG